CACUCAAUGUUGGCCCUCCUCAGGAAUGGGCUCCCUUUGCAACGAUGGGUUCCCUUCCUAAGCGUUCAGUGAUGGGGGCCAGAUGAGCUCCUUGAGACCUUCAAAGAGACCUUCCUUGGCUGGGAGGAUAGGAGAUGGGCAGGGCCAAGUCUGCACCCUUCCCUCCGGGUCUAGAUGUAGUUGGGAGUAGCAAGGGCUGGGGACGAGAGAGAAGGGACGUCCAAAGAUGUGGUAGCAUCUUGGAGGUGACUGCCCCCGCACCCUGCAGAGCUGUCGCUGGCUGUCAGAGGAGGGGGUGACCUCAGCACCCUGUUCGGUCAGGGGAGCCUGAGUCGGAGGCCUAGAGACUCGAAGGAAGUUCCUUAGGGCAUAAGCUGAUAGGUGGGAGUCACAGGAGCCCGAAACGGGGUUCCUUGAGCUGCUGGAAUGUGACGUGACGGGUGCCAAACAGCCCCUUCUCCUUACUCUCCAGGCUGGUCUCCAUCCUGCUUGGCUUGAAGUUCCCAGGCUUGGAGUCAGUGAAAGGGUGCCUGCUAGCUGCUAAUCUCAGCUCCAGAAGAUCCUAGUUAACUCUGCUUCCCUGGCUCACCUCCUGACAUCCAGGAAUGCAGAAUCCUCUGGCCAGGACUCCAGGGCUCAGUGAUUCUUCCUAAGAACCAUGAUCUCCCAGGAAUGGUGUGAACAGCUUGACUUCCACUCACAUUGAGGCUGCCUGGUCUUAGUAGUCCACAUGGGACCCUGAGAAACAGUGGCCAGGACCAUGUCCAAGGAGUAGCUGCUAUGGACGCAGCCGCCAUCGUUUCAGUGGGACUGAGCUCCAUCCUCACGAGAGAAGGGAGACGGAUUGGAGUCCUCUUGGCCCAUAGAGCAUUGCAGUUACUUGAAAAAAUGCACGCAGUGGAAAGAAAUGGAAUGUUACGUUUAUCUAGCACCUCAUGGCUCAGUGGUAAAGAAUUGCCUACCAGUGCAGGAGACUCAGGAGAUGUGGGUUGGGUCCCUGGGUCGUGAAGAUCCCCUGAAGAAGGAAAUGGCAACCCACUCCAGUAUUCUUGCCUAGAGAAUCCCGUGAACAGAGGACUCUGUGGGCCUGGUUGCCAUAGGGCUGCUAAGAGUCAGACACAACUGAGUGACUGAAAUGCACACCACACGAUAUGUUACAAAUCACUUCAAUAUUCAGUAUAUGCUCCAAUAAUCCUCACAGGAGAUGGAGAGGGGUGUUAUAAUUGUUUCUAGUUCUUUAGAUGAAGAUGCUGAAGCUCAGAUAUGAUAAGUAAAUUUUCCAAGGUGAUGCAGCUAGGAAGUGGCUGGAUGGGAUGCAGCUGGCAUGCAAAUCCAGUUGUUCAGAUCUCAACCCCACCACUCUAUCUAUUAGAGCCAAGCUUCUCAAAAUUUUCAAUUGUGAAUGAAUCACCUGGGCAUCUUGUUAAAACUGUAGGUUCUGGGACUUCCCCAGUGGUACAGUGGAUAAGAACGUGCCUGCCGAUGCAGGGGGUAUGGGUUUUAUCCCUGGUCUGGGAAGAUUCCACAUGUGGUGGAGCAACUAAGCCCAAGCACCACAAUCACUGAAGCCUGUGCUCUAGAGCCCGGGAGCCACAACCACUGAGCCCGUGUGCUGCAACUACUGAAGCCCAGGCGUCUAGAGCCGGGGCUCCACAAC
ensembl:lncRNA